UGAGUAACGCGUGAGGAACCUGCCUUCCAGAGGGGGACAACAGUUGGAAACGACUGCUAAUACCGCAUGAUACAUUUGAAUCGCAUGGUUUGAAUGUCAAAGAUUUAUCGCUGGAAGAUGGCCUCGCGUCUGAUUAGCUAGUUGGUGAGGUAACGGCCCACCAAGGCGACGAUCAGUAGCCGGACUGAGAGGUUGGCCGGCCACAUUGGGACUGAGAUACGGCCCAGACUCCUACGGGAGGCAGCAG
rnacentral:rRNA from 1 species